ACAAGAACAGUUUACAAACUUGUCAAAGUGGUUAUUUUGCCACUGCAGAAAAAUGAAGUAACUUGCUCAACACCACCACCCCUCCACAGAAGUAUGGUUUUUAAAAAACACCAGUCAAUACUUAAGUAAAAUUAAUUUUCUUUUAAAAAAAAAAAAAAAAUCACUUAUGAUAGUAAAUACAGGUCCAACUAAAGUUUUUCCAACCUCCUCCACAGCCCACCAUAAAAGACAGGAUUUGCAGGGAAAGAGCAAGUUUGGCUCAAAGGAAACCAUUUUUUGUUUUCUAAUUUGAUUAGAUUGCACUGAAAAAGUUGUCAGCAUAUUUAAAUGCCUGCCUCAGUGAACCUGAGCCUCAGCACCGGGUAAUAUAUAGAGUAAUACAUAAUGCCUUUGUAACAGUUUGCAUUUUAAACACACAGCUACCACUGGAUAGCACAGCAAACUAGAAAAUCAUUAGCUAUGACAAAAACUUCAACAAUAACUGUAUUGCUUAAUACUACAUUGUCAUAACAUGCAGCUACUAACAGAUCACUUACUGUAUUCAUGUACAGCAGAACAUGUUGAAAAAUCAAGUACUGUAGUUAAAUUUCACUACAAAAAUCAUCAGAAAAAGUUAGAAUAAAGCCAGUUUGUUUGGAUCUUUUAAUUACUACUCUUUUUCCAGUCCCCAAAGCAAAAACGCUCUGCAUAACUAUUUUAAAGAAUAAGAACAUGAGCUAGAAAUGUAGCUUUAUACCAAGCUAGGAAAAAAAAAAAAUCCUAAGGAAAAGGUGUAACAAACUGACUAGAAAGAGAUACAGACCUUAACAAAAUAACUGCAGUUUUGUCUACCGCUUUACAGAAUUUUAGAUCAAGAUGUUUAACAAAAAAAUGAAGGCAGGCAAAUACAUGUUCCAAACAUACUUAUGGUCCUCUUUACAGGCAGAAGAAAUAAAAUGGGAAAUCCAGAACUUCUAAACCCGUUCUGUGCUCUGCUACAAUACACACAAGUUUGGUUCAAAAGAACCAAGUCCUUUGUUUUCUUAACUGUUAAAUCAACAUCUGAGGAAACUUUAAGAGCUCGAAGUACAGUACAGGCAGCCAAAAAUCAAGUCCAUGAAUAUCUGUAUAGUGAAAACAGAUGCACAAAGAAUGAAAGGAUAAAUGAUGUUCAAAGUCUAACAGAAUAUACCAGUGGGCCUCCAAAACCUAAACCAAUACAGAUAUCCAGGAAAUCAAAACUAAGCAGGAAUUAUAUUACAGGAAAGGUUAGUUUGUACUGUUUCCCUCUUGCUAAUUCAGAAAGGUCAUGACCAAAUUACUAAAAAUACUGCAUUAUGCAUUUUUGCCCUUCCUGACUGUUUUGACUAUAGCAAAAGCCACUCUGUAUUAAAAAGAAAUCACAUAAACAUCACAAAGUACAAUUUACAGGUCAUGGGAAGAUAUUGCCAGAUCAAUUUUUAAAUAACUUGCAUUACUUUUAACAUUCUUGCUCUGACUGCAAAAC